GCCUUGGGGCUGGGCAGGGGGCAAUGGGGAGUCACGUGAGGUGCCUCUGGGGGGCCCCUCCAGGCAGUGGGGCCCCCAGACAACUGUCUCCCCUUGCCCUAUCAUUGUUACGCGCCUGCCUUUCAGCAUCUUCCUAUAUCGCUGCCGCCUGAUAUAGGUGUUUCCCAUAGUCUGGGAAACAUACCAGCGGGGAUUCAAACCAGCAACCUCUUGCUCCCUAGGCAAGUUACUUUCCCACUGCACCUCAGCCUUGCAAUAAUCACUCAAUGCCCCAGAAUGGAAAAAAUGCUGAUGGUAAGGCAAAAUUCUGAAGGAUGCAGAAAAGUAAUUGAAUGAGGACCCUGAAGACAUACCUAUUUUCCCAGGUCUUCAACUGAUACCAAAUUUUAAAAUUUUAAUGUGUCUUUUUAUCUAUUUGAUUUUUAUCUUUUUAAUGAAUUUUAUAUGUUUUAUAUUUUAUAUUAUGUUUUAAUUCUGUACACCGCCUAGAGAUGUUGAUAUUGGGCGGUAUAUAAAUUCAAUAAAUAAAUAAAUAAAUAAAUACAUCAA